UUUACAAUUUGUUAUAAUUUUUUAAUUUUUUGCAACAAAAGUCCUAAUAUUUUUCCGUACUUAAUGUCUUCAUUAUAUACAAGUAUGCAAGAAAUCAUGGCAAGAGAUCCUUAAUCGUUUUGGAAUUAAAUGAAUUCUAAAAGCAGUAGAGGUAGGUACGGAAAAAAUAUUAAUUAAUGGAGAACCUUUGUCCGGUGAACAAGUAAUGAAUUUGCUAGGUUUUUUCACUCCGUGGUCAGCGUGGAGAAGCCAAAGUUGGAGACUACAUGAGGCACAGACAGCAGUAUGUAGAUUAUGAAGGGCACAGAUUGAAACCAGCAGUGACAUGGGCCAUUUGUUCAAUAGAAUAUCUUGGUUUAUCGAAAUUGGCUGAGACAGCAAGGUGCAGGUCUCUGGAAAAUAUAUUAGGGAGCUGAUACAGGCAGUGUUGGCCGAAACGUUAAUGCAAUUAACCAUUAACCAGUACAAACUGAACCGUAAACUGUAACUGUCCGUUACGGUUUACGGUUCAAUUUGUACUGGUUAAUGGUUAAUUGCAAUUAACGUUCGGCCAACACUGGAUACAGGCAGCCAGAAUGAGUCUCUGCUGAGUCGCCGUCUGACGUCUUCGUGCCAGGUGCCAGUCGCCAGUUGCAGGGGAAGAUGCGAAUAGUUAUACAAGCGAGCAUGAUGACGUCUCUCAAAAACUGAUAGACACAAUACUCUUACUCGCCUUGUUACCAGAGGCAACCUCCAGCAGCAGUGGGACCAGCGCGGCCCCCUGCGCCCCCGCCCCGUCCCUCGCCCCUGCAGAGCGGACACCAGCGCCCUCUACAACUCUACCGGCGCCCGCCGUGUCUCCACCUUCUUCAAAAACGACAACCGGUGUUAGAUCUCCAAUUGACAUGACAAUACGAUGGACCUAGCUAGGCUAACAUUUUUAUUUUACCUUUUUAUCUCUGUAUAUUCCCAAGUCCCCAAGGGCACAGAUGGGAAUAUCAUAAUAUAGAUUACUCCCAUCCCCGUCCGCGCCCCCGCCUGAUGUGUGGCGGCCGUCACGUGAAGCCUUGACAAAUGUGAAUACAACCGUUGCCGCCAUAACAAUAAAUACUAAAAACAAUAGAUAAUGGUACGGAACCCUUCGUGCGCGAGUCCGACUCUCACUCUCACUUUCACGACUUUUCUUUCUAAGAUUAUUUUGAUUGGUUUGUCUACCAAUUAAUUUCUGUAUAAAUCAGUACCUAUAACAAAAUUCUUGCCCUUUUUAUUUCCCAAUUUAUAAUCUAAUUAUAGUCUUCAUCUUCUCAAAUCAUUUUUUAGCCUAAGAAUACAUUAUAAACCUAAGUAAUCUGUUAAACAAAAACCAUUGUCUCUAUUGUGACGGGCUCUAAGCUUCCAACUUGGGCACGUGGCAAAGCAACAAUGCCGUUUAAAAAGCAACUGAAUCGCGAUAGUACUAUAGUUCAAAUCUUUUUGACAGCUCAUUCAAGAUAACACGGUUGCGUAAUGUGGAUGGUUCGGUCGACCACCCCGAUAUAGGCGAGAAUACACAGCGCUCGUAAGAUUUCAACUUUAGUACUAUCGCGAUUCAGUUGCUUAUUAAACGGCAAUGUUGCUUUGCCACGUGCCAAAGUUGGAAGCUUGGAGCCCGUUACAAUAGAGACAAUGGCUUUUGUUUAUAGAUCCAAUCAUAUCAACUGAGCUAAUGCACUCACCUGUACUAACAAUGGCAUCGUAUUAUUACAAUACUAUUAUCCGCUUUUGUUCUCGUAGCCGCCACGCCAACUAGUUACUUACAAAAUAAGUUAGAAGUGCAUUGCAUGUAUAUUCAAUUUUCACAUCACCAAUUCGAAAAAGGGUUUUUUCUUCCCUGCUAGGAGGGAUCAAAGUGGCACUUUUCUUCCCUGCUAGGAGGGAUCAAAGUAACACUUUUCUGUUCUAGGACACUAUUUAAAAACAAUUGCACAUUAUUUUUUUAGCUUAAAUAAUAUUUUUAAACAUCAUAAUUACCUCAUAGGUGAUGUGAAAAGCAGUAUGUGUCACAUGGUAGCAAAAUUAUUUCCAUCUUGGGCGUAACACACUUGAAUCCCUCACUACGCUCAGGAUUCUACUUUAGAAUCUUCGUUACUCUCGGGAUUCUAUUAUAGAAACCUUCGCUUCGUUUAAGAUUCAAUGUACG